rnacentral:lncRNA from 10 species
CUUAGUUUCUACCAAGUUAUUCUUUUUUCUAGAAUCCAACAACAAAUUUACCACAGGAAAUGGUAGGGAGAAAGUCUUACGCAAUGGGAGGAUAUUGUUAUAAAUAGGAGUCCUUGCUGUGACUUUCUUAAAUAAACACGUUGCUAAUGUUUUCAGGCAGUGGUAGAGCUACUGUUCAGAGACUGUUAAGAAUGAACUGACUGAUAGCAAGAGAGAAGGACAAUUUCAUUAGAUCCAUUAAGAAGUCUUACAAGUCUACAUCCAAUGAGAAGAAGAGAGACCAAAGCAGACCCCUGGAAGAAAUCAGCCAUUUUUAAAGGGGUGGAUCAAGGAGGAGUCCAUAGAGAUGAAAGAGAGCCAUCCAGGUUCUGGCAUCUAGUAAGCAGUCAAUAAAUAUUUAUUAACUGAACCAAUAAAAAAU